rnacentral:snRNA from 2 species
GUGCUCACUUCAGCAGCACAGAUACAGAGAAGAUUAGCACGGCCUCUGUGCAAGAAUGGCACGCAAAUUCAUGAAAUGUUCCAUAUUUUU